rnacentral:rRNA from 1 species
UACGUAGGGUGCGAGCGUUAAUCGGAUUUACUGGGCGUAAAGCGUGCGCAGGCGGCCCGUUAAGACAGAUGUGAAAUCCCUGGGCUCAACCUAGGAAUUGCGCUUGUGACUGGCGGGCUCGAGUACGGUAGAGGGGGGUGGAAUUCCUGGUGUAGCAGUGAAAUGCGUAGAUAUCGGGAGGAACACCGAUGGCGAAGGCAGCCCCCUGGGCCUGUACUGACGCUCAUGCACGAAAGCGUGGGGAGCAAACAGG